CCGGGAGUCGCUGGGUGCGUGGGGCUGCCUCGCCGCGUCUCGCCACGAUGGGGAGACUGAGGCUUGGAGAGGUCACCUGCCCGUGACCCUAGGAUUCACAGCUAGGAUGUGGCAGAGCUGAAACUCACUCACAGGCCUCCUGACUUAAUGUCCUUGGGGAUGUUGAGGAGGCGGGCUGUUGAACUCCUACUUAUCCUACAGAAGCCCCCUCAAGCAGCACCUCCUCCGGGAAGCCUUCCCUGGCAUUCUCCUGGUAUUGUUGGGUGCUUCCUGUUUUGAACCCCACAGAGUUAGCCAGCCCUUUUUCUCACUUCCCAACAGACAUUCCCUUGCAUGUCUGUCUGCCAGACUGGGCUGUGGGUGGACACCUCUCCCUAGCCUCCAUGUGAUAACCCUUUCAUCUCAGCAGGGUGGUCUGCUGGCGAGGGUAGGCUUCUGGAUUUGAACAGAUCUGUGACACACCGGAUUUAGUAGUGAUGUGGCCCGGGCGACGCAUUUUCCUUCCGAUCUAGUCUCAGUUUCCAUAACUGUAAAGCUGGGUUUAUUUCAUUGUCCUAAAGGAACUGUUGGGUCAUUUCUGAAUCCCCCCACCCCACUGAACCCCAAUUGUACUGUUGUUUACUUAAUAUACAUCUUUGUAUCACCUGAUUUUUAAAAAUCUCAUGCAAACUUUUUUUAUAACAGCUUUGUUGAGAUACAGUUCACAUGCC
rnacentral:lncRNA from 10 species